AGUGAACGCUGGCGGUAGGCCUAAUACAUGCAAGUCGAACGGCAGCACAGUAAGAGCUUGCUCUUACGGGUGGCGAGUGGCGGACGGGUGAGGAAUACAUCGGAAUCUACUUUUUCGUGGGGGAUAACGUAGGGAAACUUACGCUAAUACCGCAUACGACCUACGGGUGAAAGCAGGGGAUCUUCGGACCUUGCGCGAUUGAAUGAGCCGAUGUCGGAUUAGCUAGUUGGCGGGGUAAAGGCCCACCAAGGCGACGAUCCGUAGCUGGUCUGAGAGGAUGAUCAGCCACACUGGAACUGAGACACGGUCCAGACUCCUACGGGAGGCAGCAGUGGGGAAUAUUGGACAAUGGGCGCAAGCCUGAUCCAGCCAUACCGCGUGGUGAAGAAGGCCUUCGGGUUGUAAAGCCCUUUUGUUGGGAAAGAAAAGCAGCAGGUUAAUACCCCGCUGUUCUGACGGUACCCAAAGAAUAAGCACCGGCUAACUUCGUG
rnacentral:rRNA from 1 species